UCUGGAACCAAUUUAUAAGACCCGGUAGCGGGUUUCAACGAAGUUAAAUGCAAAGGACAGCUCGAAAUCGAUUAUCGAUUGAUGCAAGUUGCACCUAAUCUCAACAGCACAGAUUGCGAUAGUAAGUGGGAACAUGUUCUACGAGUUUCUGGGUCAUAUAUCGCGAAAAGAUCAUUAGACGAGCCUUCAUCGCAGUUAUUGGAUGUCCUUAAUAACACAAAUGAAUCGGAUGAUAUGCGAAUUUGUUCCCUUCUGCUCUUGCUUAACUGCAUACUAACACCCCAGAAAGUGUCUGCAAGUUUCCGACCAACCAUAAUAAAUGGUAAAGACGACACGAUUUUGUUUGCCGAUUCUGAUGAAACUGCAUCAGACAUUUUGUCGAACGUGUACAGCGGUUAUCGCGACCUGCAUCUAGAAACAGUGCCAAAACUUAUUUUCUUCGGUACACCAACUAGAUUGCUCGGUGUUUACAGAGUAUACUUCGAAGAAGUUGUGUACAAUUUACCAUCUGUUCGACGAGCUGUGGACGUUUACAUAAGACUAUGUACAGUUCUCGCGAUUAAGCAUUCUAAGAUCAGUAAAUUGGUUUGGAUUUUUGUAGC